UUGCUGUCUCUUUCAGCUGAAAACCCUUGCGAGGGUAUUAUUCACGAAGAAUGCAUCAACAAAGAGACAUGGUGCCUUGUCGAUGCGAACGGACGCCGUGGCCUAAGUUGCCGCGAUGCGCACUGCCACCCAGACGAGGUUGAUGUUGACUGGAAUGUUUGCAAAAACGACGGUUCCGAGUUAACCUGUUAUAAGAACCCCGAUGGCGGCCAAUGCAUAUGCGUAUGCAGCUAACAGUGAAGCGCCUGGCAAUUAACCAGAGGCCCCGAUGGCGCAGUCCAAUGCAUCCAAUGCGAAGAGCGGGUUGUAAUAAAUAUGUUGGCAAAAUA